rnacentral:lncRNA from 1 species
UUAAACAUCAAGUCCCCUUACUCCCAUAACCAAACAACUCCCUUACUUGGGUGUAAGAUUCUCUCCCUCUAGCCACCCACUAUAAGCGUAUCAUGAACAUAUUGCAAACCCUACAACGAGAAUUCCCUCACAUGUGCAUGACAUGAAGGGCACCAUAGGACAACAACACAAUAAUACGUACACUCAAAUCCAUCAAGAUCAUCAAUCAACCCAAAGGACAACAUAAAUAUAUCCAAACAUCAUUGGAUGGAAACACAUCAUUGAUUAAUAAUAUGUGUCAUGAAAGACCAUGUUAAAGUAGGGGAUUAUAGAGGGGUGUCGGAGAGUGGGCCACCAUAUAUAGACCAGGGAAGGUGAUGGAGACGGUGAUGUUUAUGAAGAUGGGCACUGUGGCGAUGCUUCACCCUGGCGGCACUUCGGCGCCACCAGAAGAGAGGGGAAGGGAGUAUCCGCCCUUAGGCUUCCUCUUCAUUGUCCACUACCUUCAUUGGGAGAGGUUCUCCCUCUGGUUCUUGGCCGCCAUGGCUCUCGGAGCCCCUCCGGGAUUGGAUGUCUCUCUCGGUUUCUCCCCGGUUUUCGCUACUGUUUUUUCUCUAGAUUGGUUUUUCAUCAAUA